UGAGUCCAGGGUUUUGCAUUUCACACUUGAUAGUUAAUGUAGAGGUUGUACUGGUUUAUUCUCCCACUGGCAGCCUGUUUUCCCAUGUCCUCACCAAUGUAGUUCAUUGAACGUUUUCAACUUUGUCAGUCUGAUAGGGAGAAAAAAAUUUCUCUUAAUUUGUUUUGUGUUUCUCUGAUUUUGAGGGAAAUCGAGCAUCUUUUUAUGGUUGGAGGAGAGUGGGGCUUAUGAGGAAGAAAGAAAUGAAUGAGAAGUAAAUUAUCAGUCGUAACUCUUAGAUGUGAGCAACAGAAUUUACACCACUAAACAAAUCCAGCAGAGACCCCACUGCCACUACCAGCUUGGGAAUCUCCACGUCUGUGAGUCGGUGUCUUCCACCCUGGCCAGAAAAUGGAUUCCCAGCAGCACCUGCUUCCUUGUGUUGCACUACUCUUGAUUCAUCAUUGCGUACACUGUGAGCAGCUGCUAGGCGGGAAAAGCAUCAGAUGAGUGUCUGCAUGAUUUUUGAUAAUGGCUAUGAGGAACAAAUAUUGCAGAUGGAUCAAACCAAAGAAUCACACUCAAAGCUGGAUUAAAGAGUCAUGAAAAGAAGGGAGAGGAAGAAAUGAAGAAACAAGAGAAUUAUAGAAGUAAAAUAUGCAGUUUAUUAUUGAAAAGAAAUCUGCCAUUUGAAUAAAGACCAAACAGCUUUUCAUUGUUUCACCCCACAUGGCUACAUUUUUUUUGAGCAGCAAGUCCCAAGAUCAAGAAACCAGAAGACUUUGACUAAUUAGUAGUCAUGGAAAUUUACUACACCAACAACAAAUUUAUCAGGCAAUUUCAUUUCCAAAGCACGUUUGUGCAUGUCACAGCUUUUGUUUUAGGUUCUAGGGAUUGUCAGUGGAGUUUGUUCCGAGGAGACCAUAGAUGAAGAAACCAGCUGUAAGACUGAACAAGGAAAGAUUGCCAUUCGUGUUUUUAUAUCAGCCUUCAUUUUAUGAGGUUUGUAAGUAGUUUAUCAAAUAUUCUGGCAAAAUAGAUCAGUAUAAGGCAGUUUUCUCUGCUAGGAAGCCUGCCACGUAGAGGAAUGAGAAGACUGGACUUAGAGUGAUAAGAAUCUGUUUCCAGCCUGACAUUGCCAGUACUCCCUGUGAAAUCUUGAUUAAGCCAAUUAUCCUUUCCUUGAUGUCAGUUUUCUUAUUUGUCAAGUGAGUGUUUGGAGUGAAUGAUCUCACAAGAAUCCUUGCAUCCAAAAUUAUUUGAUUCUAUGAAAUUGCUUCAGUUUUUAUAUAAUAAAACUCAUAUAUAGGAACA
rnacentral:lncRNA from 1 species